CCGGCUUAGAGGAGGAAGAGGCGAAAGGAAAGACACCUCCCUCACUCUGGCCUAAGGCACCACGGCUCACCUCACUGCUGUGGUUGGUGGUUGCUGCCACGGAGACUGAAGAGCCACCGGAGUAGUAGGAGGGUGGCCCACAGUGCAGGAGCUGCUCAGUGCCCGGCUUAAAGGAGGAAGAGAAGGGGAAGACCCCUGUCCCAAGCUGGAGGCUGGAGCUCUUGGCACCUCGGCUGGCCUCUCUGCGAUUGGUGGCUGUAAUGAAGACUGCAGCCCCGCCUGAGCAUUAAGAAGGAGAAAAUAGUUUUUGGGAAAGGAGUGCGUAGCUCUGUUGACUGUGUACAUCGUCCACAGCCCCUGGGUCGGGGCAGGGUCCCCUAGGCCGCCCGGGGGUCCACAUGCAGCCCCUGGGGGGCCGGCGCGGGGU
rnacentral:lncRNA from 10 species